ACAUAUCAAUAAGCGGAGGAAAAGAAACCAACAGGGAUUGCCCUAGUAACGGCGAGUGAAGCGGCAACAGCUCAAAUUUGAAAUCUGGCUCUCGGGCCCGAGUUGUAAUUUGUAGAGGAUACUUUUGAUGCGGUGCCUUCCGAGUUCCCUGGAACGGGACGCCAUAGAGGGUGAGAGCCCCGUCUGGUUGGAUGCCAAAUCUCUGUAAAGUUCCUUCGACGAGUCGAGUAGUUUGGGAAUGCUGCUCUAAAUGGGAGGUAUAUGUCUUCUAAAGCUAAAUAUUGGCCAGAGACCGAUAGCGCACAAGUAGAGUGAUCGAAAGAUGAAAAGCACUUUGAAAAGAGAGUUAAAAAGUACGUGAAAUUGUUGAAAGGGAAGCGUUUAUGACCAGACUUGGACUUGGUUAAUCAUCUGGGGUUCUCCCCAGUGCACUUUUCCAGUUCAGGCCAGCAUCAGUUUUCGCCGGGGGAUAAAGGCAGCGGGAAUGUGGCUCUCUUCGGGGAGUGUUAUAGCCCGUUGUGUAAUACCCUGGUGGGGACUGAGGUUCGCGCUUCUGCAAGGAUGCUGGCGUAAUGGUCAUCAACGACCCGUCUUGAAACACGGACCAAGGAGUCGUCUUCGUAUGCGAGUGUUCGGGUGUCAAACCCCUACGCGUAAUGAAAGUGAACGCAGGUGAGAGCUUCGGCGCAUCAUCGACCGAUCCUGAUGUUCUCGGAUGGAUUUGAGUAAGAGCAUACGGGGCCGGACCCGAAAGAAGGUGAACUAUGCCUGUAUAGGGUGAAGCCAGAGGAAACUCUGGUGGAGGCUCGCAGCGGUUCUGACGUGCAAAUCGAUCGUCAAAUAUGGGCAUGGGGGCGAAAGACUAAUCGAACCUUCUAGUAGCUGGUUUCCGCCGA
rnacentral:rRNA from 1 species